GCGGCGCUGGGGGGGAGGAGACGGCGCCCGGUGCCUCGGCCUUCCCCGCCCCCGGAACGGCCCUCCUAGGCGGUCAGGUGUGUUUGCUCCCGGUGCUUGUACGGUGUGAGGCCUGGCGAAAAUCUAGCGGCGCUGCUGUGUGUGUUACCACCUAACUUCAUCGGCAGCCCAGAGGCACAAAGAUAUGGGUUGAAGAAAGGGCGAAAGCCAAUUUUGAAAAGGAACCUGCCCACCCCCUCCCCCCCGCCCGGCGUUAAACUGUGCCAUUUGCUUGGCACACAUUGUAACUUUAACCGUUGAGUCGCAGUUUUGAUUCGUGAGCUUUUUAAUGUGAGAAACUGGAGGUGGGUAUCUUCCUUCUCCCACGUCUUUUGUUCCUGGUCAUGUGCGCUGUGUAGAAAUCUUGUAUUUGCUUUGACUUUCACUCCCUGGUUUUCCGGUGUUCUGGAUGCGCAUGAAUGCGUCUUAAACCGAACAGCUUAGAAUUUAUACGACAAGCCUCUAUUAGAGGUCGACAGCUUUCACUUUCAUAGUGCCUGUGUCUAGCUAGUAAUUGGCCGCUGUUGCUUUAUUUUCACUAUUAGAAUCAACGAUUAGUGAUCCAGUCAUUCCCAUAAGUAAACAUUUCCUUCUUUAAUGCAGACAAUUUGCAGUUACUGUUAUUUUUUUACGCUGGAUUCCACGAACGUGACCCCGUAGUUUCUAGCUGGUUUUGUGUUCGGGGUGGAAGAUGCUGGCAGAGAAUCCAUGUUGACUCAUAAUUAAAAAUCACUGUUGUGUAACAUUUGCUCCACCUGCUUUUCCUCCUUUCUCUGGUCUGUCUUGCCAUUUGUAGAGGAAAUUAUGCUUCUCUGAAAGGAAAAGUAAACCUUUUAAUUUUUGUUCUCUGAAAAUAACUCUUGAAAUUACAAGAAAUUACCUUGAGAUUUCUAAUACUAUCUUUCACCAAAUCUUUUAAACCAAACAUAUGUUUACAAGAAGCUAAUUUCAAGCAGUCAGAAAAUCUCUUAGUAGUCUUAGUUUCUGGCAUUUCCCUGACCUGUUGAUUUCAGUGCUAGUGCCUGCUGGAGUAAGGCAUUUCUCUCAGAGCCUGGAUUCCUGUUCUGGCAAAGGGAAAAUUAAUUAUUAUUAGUUAUGUAUUAUUAUUUUAGUAAAACACCAUGUGACUUACAAUAAUAAAAACAAAAUUGAGGGGGAGAAAAGCUUUUUCAUCAUAUCUUUAGCACUUGGAAUUUGUUGGGCCUUUUCAUUUCAGUCUUGGUGAGGGUAGGUGUCUUGAUAAAAACAAUAACUGCCAGAGUUCCCUUCAUGGCUCAGCAGUAACAGUCCAUGAGGACCCAGGUUCAAUCUCUGGCCUCAGUCGGUGGGUUAAGGAUUCCACCUGCGGUGAGCUAUGGUGUAGGUCCCAGACAUGGCUUGGAUCUGGCGUUGCUGUGGUAUAGGCCAGCAGCUAGAGCUCCCAUUUGACCCCUGGCUUGGGAACUUCCAUCUGCCUGGGGUGCAGCCCUAAAAAGCAAAAAAGAUUAAAAUAAAUAAAAUAAAACAUAAUUGCCUUUUAGGAAUUACAAACGUUUCUUCAAGGUAUAAUACCUUGAGGAGAAGAACUAAAAGAUUCCAGGUAUAUUAUAUAGGUUUAAUACCCAUCCUUAACUGGAUCUUUUACCUUGUUUUUGCAUGCAGAAAUUUCUAAGUAUCAUUGUAUUCCUGUCAGCUCCCUUCUCAAAGAUGUUUUGCAAUUUUUCAGUAAAAUUUUGACCAGAAUAUACAUUCAUCCCAUUGUGGAUAGAAGAAAAGACAGCAGAGAGUUCCCUUCAUGGCUCAGGAGUUAACAACCCCGACUAGGAUCCACGGGGAUGGGGGUUCAACCCCUGGCCUUGCUUCAUGGGUUAAGGAUCUGGUGUUGCUGUGGCUAUGGUGUAGGCCGGCAGCUGUAGCUCUGAUUUGACCCCUAGCCUGGGAGCUUUAGGGUGCAGCCCUAAAGAAAGAGAAAAAAAAGAAGAAGAAGACAAGACAGCAGAUUCCUCACAAAUCACUCUUGAGAAAGGCCAGUGAUUAGCCAAGGGAGUCACCAAGUAAACAAAGUAUGAAACUCUAUCUAGUCUAAAUUACCAGCUUUCUCCUUUCUGGUUAGUAGAGGUUACAUGUAGGUAUUAGAAAUAUUGACCUGCUGUGGAAUCUUGCAGUAUAUUGAUUUUUGUUUUGUUUUGGUUUUUUUGUGCAAUGAAUAUAGAAAAUCAGCUGAAAUAUGAAUUCUUUAAAAUUUAUAGGCAAAGCUAUUUAUGGACAUUUUCUUUAAAGGUAGAUGGUACUCCAAGUUUCUAGUUUCUUAUGCUUUUAGCUUUUGGAUCAAUAUUAUAAUCACAGCUCUAUAUAAGCUUUAGUGACAAAAACGGCUGAUUCAGCUGCUACACAACAUUUAGGGAAGCUAAGCUUAUAAAAACAAGCCUAAACUGAUUGUUCCUUUUUGUAAAAUCACAGAACAUCUUCCUACACUGUUUUAAAGUGACAAAAUCGAAGCCAUUGUAAGAAUCAAGCUCUAUUGAUUUUCCUGUAAAAUGAAGCAAGAGGAACUUUUCAACUUUAUUUAAAAAGUUGAAUUUUAUUUUUAGUAAUUGGUUUGUUUGUUUGUUUUCUUUUUUUUUUUUGAGCCCCUCAAGGAUGUUGUUCUAAGGACAACUUAGAAUAUGUUACAAACUUUAUAAAGAUCAAUGUCAUGGAUAUACUUUUAGCAUAAGCUUCUUAAGAGCUAUGAUUAGAGAAAAGAUACCACUUGGGAAGGAAUGAUACUCUUUUUCAGAUUCCAGUUAUAAAAUUUAUUGAAAAAACAAGCAAAACAAAAGGGAGUUCCUAUCGUUGCUCAGAGGAAACAAAUCUGACUAGUAUCCUUGAGGACGCAGUUUCAAUCCUUGACCUCUCUCAGUGGGUUUAGGAACCUGUGUUGCAAUGGGCUGUGGUGUAGGUCAUAGAUGUGGCUUGGAUCUGGCAUUGCUGUUGCUGUGGUGUAGGCUGGUGGCUACAGCUCCGACUUGACACCUAGCCUGGGAACUUCCAUAUGAGGCAUGUUCCCCCCUAAAAAUAAAAUAAAACAAAAAUAAAUUUAUUGAGACUUGUUUUAUGGGAUAGCAUGUCAUCUGCCCUAGAGAGUGUUACAUGUGCCCUUGAAAAGAAUGUGUAUUCUGUUCUUUUUGUAUGGAAUAUUCAAUAAAUUGCUAAGUUCAUCUGAUCUAAUGUGUCAUUCAGGCUAGUGUUUCCUUAUUGAUUUUCUGUUUAGGUGAUCUGUCCACUGAUAUAAGUGGGGUGUUAAAGUCCCCUACUAUUGUUGUAUUACUGUCAAUUUCCCCCUUUAUGUUUGUUGCUAUUUGCCUUAUAUACCCAGGUGCUCCUAUAUUGCCUGCAUGUAUAGAUUUACAAUUGUUACAUCUUCUUGUCAGAUUGAUCCCUAUAUCAUUACAUAACGUCCUUCUUUCUCUUGUUAGUGUUUGUUUUAAAGUCUAUUUUCUCUGAUAAGUACUGUUAAUUUCUCUUCAUUUUCAUUUGAAUGGAAUAUCUUUUCCAUUCCGUUGCUUUCGAUCUCAUGCGUGAGAUAUUUCCUUUUAUUAUUUUCAUAUUUCUAGUAGUAGCCUUUUCUUUUUUGCUUAGAAAAAAAAAUUUGAAGAAAAUCACAAUGUUGGGACUUUAUAGACUUCUGGUUUUGAUGUCAGGUCCUUGUUCCCCAAACGGUAUUCUAGCUUGCAUGGGUGUUGCAUUGACUUUAAUUUAUUGAAAAAUACAAUUUUUUGUAAGUAUCAGAUCAGUCGUACUGGUGUUAGUGUUGUAAUCAGAUUAAACCCACUUCCAUUAAACUUGACAGGAUUAUAGAAGGACAAUAUUUUUUAGUUCAUGAAUUCUACUUUUCAAGUAUAUGAAAGCUGCAGGUGGGAUAAAAAUCUCAUACAUGGGUUUUUGGCCUCCACUGUCAUGUGUACUUUUGUACUUAACCUUGUACAGUUAUUUUCAUCUCUUGAAACAUGAAAGAAAUGUUAAUAUAGAUGUUCUUUAGCAGAUCUGGACAUUUGGUACAUAAUCCAGCACAAAUAAACUGGGUGGUGAU
rnacentral:lncRNA from 1 species